rnacentral:rRNA from 1 species
CAUCGCCUCUUGCAACAAUUAAUAUAAGAGGUCCCGCCUGCCCUGUGACUCUAUGAGUUUAACGGCUGCGGUAUUUUGACCGUGCAAAGGUAGCGCAAUCACUUGUCUUUUAAAUAAAGACCUGUAUGAAUGGCAUGACGAGGGCUUAACUGUCUCCUUUUCCCAGUCAAUGAAAUUGAUCCCCCCGUGAAGAAGCGGGGAUACAACUAUAAGACGAGAAGACCCUGUGGAGCUUUAAACGCAAGAGGAGACCAUGUCAAGUACCCCCCGGGGGUGAAACAAAAUGAAUACUCCUCUGAUGUUUUUGGUUGGGGCGACCGCGGGGGAAUAAAAAGCCCCCACGUGGAUCGGGAGAACCCCUCCUACAACUGAGAGUAACAGCUCUAAUUAACGGAAUAUCCGACCAACAAUGAUCCGGCCAAGCCGAUCAACGGACCGAGUUACCCCAGGGAUAACAGCGCAAUCCCCUUUUAGAGACCUUAUCGCCAAGGGGGUUUACGACCUCGAUGUUGGAUCAGGACAUCCUAAUGGUGCAGCCGCUAUUAAGGGUUCGUUUGUUCAACGAUUAAAGUC